CUACGGGGUGCAGCAGUCGAGAAUCUUCCGCAAUGGACGAAAGUCUGACGGAGCGACGCCGCGUGCGGGAUGAAGGCCUUCGGGUUGUAAACCGCUGUCAGUGGGGAGGAAAUGCAUCAGGGUUCUCCCUGGUGUUUGACCGAUCCGCAGAGGAAGCGCAGGCUAAGUUCGUGCCAGCAGCCGCGGUAACACGAACUGCGCGAACGUUAUUCGGCAUCACUGGGCUUAAAGAGUUCGUAGGCGGCCUUUCAAGUCGGGUGUGAAAUCCCUCGGCUCAACCGCGGAAUUGCGCCUGAUACUGUUGGGCUUGAGGGGGAUAGGGGUGAGCGGAACUGAUGGUGGAGCGGUGAAAUGCGUUGAUAUCAUCAGGAACACCGGUGGCGAAGGCGGCUCACUGGAUCUCUUCUGACGCUGAGGAACGAAAGCUAGGGGAGCGAACGGGAUUAGAUACCCCAGUAGUC
rnacentral:rRNA from 1 species